rnacentral:lncRNA from 1 species
UUUACAGGUUGGAGACUAGUGAGAUACAGAUUGACGAUACUAUGUUUGUACUAGAAAUGUACUUAUUUUAUGCCAAUCAAGACAGACUUUUAAAAUGUACACAGAAGAAGAAAAAAUAAAUAUAUUAUCUGCUUUGUAUUUGCUUUUAAAGAAAGAACACACCAUAACUAUAAAAACGGUUUAGGGUUUUUGUAAAGAUUUGAACUUGUUCCAAUUCUUUCCCAAGGCACCAGCCUCCAAACAGAAAGUGGACAGAUUAGCUACCUACUAAAUAUAUACACAUUGACAUAUAGUUCCCAAUUAUUUCUAUGAAACAACCCCUACCAUGGAAGCUUAAAAGUACUUGAAGUAUAAGUAUUGGCAUAUUGAAUUUUAAC